UGGGGUUGUAGCUCAGGGGUAGAGCGCUUGCCUGGCAUGUGCGAGGCACUGGGUUCGAUUCUCAGCACCACAA
rnacentral:tRNA from 1 species